UCUGGUGCUCUUACGUCAGAGGCAACACAGCUUCCCAUUCCGAACAGCACCGUAAAGCUCUGACGGCCGAUGGUAGUGCCCACAGGUGCGAGAGUAGGUUGGUGCCAGAU
rnacentral:rRNA from 1 species